GGAGGAGAAAAGGAGGAAAAAGAAGAAAGAAGGAAAAGAAGUCACGGCAUGGAUCUGAAGAACCGUUAGCAGAUGCUGAUGAUCAGGAAGAAAUAGAUGAUGAAGAUUCCAAUGUAAACUUGAAAGAGCCUCAUUAUCAAGUUGAUCACGUUGACCAAGCAGAAAAUAAUCCUCAGGAUCUUCUUGCAGCAGCAGGUCUUGAUGAUUCUGAUGCAGAGGAUGAUGCCGUAAGUCCUCCCUCCCUCCUCUCUCUCUUCUCUCUCUCGCUGUGUGUUUGCAUAACAUAAACUUGUACAUAAAACAAACAAGCAUGCAAUUAAGCAGUUUUUGGUGGCAUAUGUUAUUUUUUACCCCUCUUUGGCAGAUUGGAGAAUAUUCUUCUCUAAUUAUCUCAAAAGUAUUCUACAUUGAUUCUUUAACUCGUGACUUUAUGACCAAGAACUGGGAGACUUGCCAGAUUGAUAAAUGUAGCUUUAUUUUAUAGUAUACCACUGCUACUAACAUCUUUCCAUUUAAACGCGAUUGCUGCUUUGCUCUUUUGUGUGCUUAUCACAUCUGUCCACUGACAUGUGAUCUUGUUGUGUUGAUUAAUACUCAAUUUCGUGAUUGGAAGUCUUGUAUGUCGAAAAUGAUGCUAAAUUUUUUAUGAAAUCUGUUCCCCCUGUCACCACAUCUAAUGUAAAGACAGUCAUAGACUUGUGUAUCUUAGGUCUUCUCUUUUUGUGGUUUGAUAUCUUUUUCCUUCAUAAAGGUUGCCCCUACAUCUAAUACAAACCGACAGAGGCAAGCAUGGUCAGAGUCAGAGGAAGAUGAAUCAUUCCAGAUGCAGGCAGUGUCUGAUCAUGCUGUUGGGGUACCAGAUAGUGAUGCAGAAGCUGGAGGUCAUGAUGAAAGGCUGCAUGGUGACGUUUCUGUUGAUGAUGAAUAAUGAGAUCAACCCUUGCGUUAAAGUCUCUGUUUAUCAUGAAAUCUGAAGACAAGGUUGGCGCGUCCUUUCAUUUUCAGAACCAGGUAGAACUGAUCUUUCUUUCUAAUGCUUUGCGAGUCGGGUACCCUUGCAGAUAUAAGAUGGCCUCUCAAAGCUUGUAAUUUUGUUGUUCUGAAGGUCC
rnacentral:lncRNA from 1 species